rnacentral:lncRNA from 1 species
AAGAUGCUUAUAGUAGAAAUCUAAACCAUGAAACUCUAGGUUAAUUUCUCCAUUAAUUGUAGCUCCUGAAGGGUGAGCAAUGAGUUUGAUUAUGAAAAAGUGAUAAAUCAUUUUAAAAAUCAUUUUCAAGAAAUAUUGGACCCGUUUGAUAUAGAUUUGUUUAUAAAUGAUUCGCAUUGUGAUAAAUAUUUAAAAAAUAAAAUUUUAACAAAAAUUGAUUAAAAUAAUUUUUCAUGUAAUAUAUUAUAUUUUUGAUACAACUUUUU